UGGGUGACUGAGAAUUUACUUCUCCUAGG
rnacentral:piRNA from 1 species